rnacentral:lncRNA from 1 species
CGGAGCCGCAGCCCGUGGGAGCAGCCCCUGUGGGUGGGCCCCGUGGUACGGAGCCGUGUGGAGCAGUGCCUGGAGAGCUGCGGCCGGUGGGGAACCCACAGAGGGUCAGCUGAGGCAGGACGGCAUCCCGUGGGACAGACCCACGCGGAGCACGGCACAGAGUGGCCACGGGGAGCGGUAGAGAGGAAGCGUUAUGGACUGACCAUGGCCUCCACUCCCUAUUCCCCUGUGCUGCUCAGAUGGAGGAGAUAAAAGAGGUGGAUGGAAGAGGAGUGUGACAGCAGCCUGGCAGACAUGUGGUGUCCAGCCAAGGUCGACAUACUGCAUCAGCACGCAAGCCUGAUAAUUUUACUUCAAAUUUUG